CAAGAGGAGGAGAUAACCACCCUGGACAUGCCUGACUCCAGAAUUGGGCUUUCUUCAGCAGAACUGCAUGCUUGGAAGUUGAGUAAGAAUGGAGAAUUCAGGCCGUGUGUGCUGAGAAAUCCCAGAUGAAGUGUGCUAAAAAUGCAGAUUUCUGACCUUGGGCAUGGUGCCAGAAAGAAGUUUUAAUGUCCAAGGGUUUUAUGCUUCAAAGAUAGACCCUUGUGAUUGUUGGUUUAAACCUCCAUACUACACAGGAAGCAAUCUGAUAUCCCACUGACUGGAACACGUAAGUUCCUUGCAACUCAAGAAAAGGUAACAUUAGAAUCACCUGGGAGUUCGUGAGAAAUACAGAACCUCAAGCUCCAACCCAGAGUACAGAAUCAAGUUCUGUAUUUGGACGAGAUCCUCCAGUGAUGCCUACAUAGGACAUAGCUUGAGAAGUGCUUGUUUGUA
rnacentral:lncRNA from 10 species